rnacentral:rRNA from 2 species
AAAACUUUCAACAACGGAUCUCUUGGUUCUGGCAUCGAUGAAGAACGCAGCGAAAUGCGAUAAGUAAUGUGAAUUGCAGAAUUCAGUGAAUCAUCGAAUCUUUGAACGCACAUUGCGCCCGCCAGCAUUCUGGCGGGCAUGCCUGUUCGAGCGUCAUUUCAACCCUCGAGCUCCCUUUGGGGAGCCCGGCGUUGGGG